UCGCCCUCAUGAAGCUGGAAUCCGUAGUAAUCGCGUUUCAACACAGCGCGGUGAAUACGUCCCUGCUCCUUGCACACACCGCCCGUCAAACCAUCUGAGUGAGGUUUGGAUGAGGGUCUUCCUGAUGGGGGAUUCGAAUCUGGGCUUCGCAAGGAGGGUUAAGUCGUAACAAGGUAGCCGUAGGGGAAUCUGCGGCUGGAUCACCUCCUAAU
rnacentral:rRNA from 1 species